GAUGAACGCUGGCGGCGUGCCUAACACAUGCAAGUCGAGCGAACAGACGAGGAUCUUGUUCCUCUGACGUUAGCGGCGGACGGGAGAGUAACAUGUGGAUAACCUACCUAUAGUCUGGGUUAACUUCGGGAAACCGGGCCUAAUACCGGAUAGUAUUUUUAACCGCAUGGUUCAAUAGUGAAAGUUGGUUUUUUUGUCACUUAUAUAUGGCUCCGCGCCGCAUUAGCUAGUUGGUAAGGUAACGGCUUACCGAGGCAUCGAUGCGUAGCCGACCUGAGAGGGUGGUAGGCCACAUGGGAAGGGAGCCAGGGUCCAGACUCCUGAGGGAGGCAGCAGUAGGGAAUCUUCCGCAAUGGGGGAAAGCAUGACGGAGCAACGGCGCGUGAGUGAUGAAGGUGUUCGGAGCGGAAAACUCUGUUAGUAGGGAAGAACAAAUGUGUAAGUAACUGUGCAGGUCUUGACGGUACCUGAUCAAGAAGCCACGGCUAACUACGUG
rnacentral:rRNA from 1 species